UCGUUUGGUAUAUGUUUCAGCUAAUUGCUGGUCCAUCCUAGGAACCAAGACGUGCCAGAUUGCGUCAAGCGUGAAACUCCUCUCUACGAGCGUCCGCUCC
rnacentral:lncRNA from 1 species